rnacentral:lncRNA from 1 species
CGCGACCCGUGUGUGGCGAUCCCUGCCCCGCUCCCCAGCAGGCCUGCGGCCGCCAGAGGGCGACGCCGCCCAGCUUGCGGCCACUCACGUCUCUGCACUGCUGGGUGUCCGCGGCCAGGACGCUGGCGACCGUCUUGGUGACGGCGACUUUGGCAGGCUUGGAGCAGGCGCCGAGAACAGAGUUGGAGGGAAUCAUUGCUGUGAGAAGCUGACAGUGGUGGAUGACAAGCUUGAAUUUCCAGAGGAAAUAGCAUGUCUGUGAAACUCACCCAUGCCAUCUGGAAAGGAAAAAGUUAAGUUGCAUUUCUGCAAUACAUUCUCUCCCUUCCCUGAGCUGCUCCUGG